rnacentral:piRNA from 1 species
UGGUAAGUCCAUAUACUUAUC